UACGAAGGGGCUAGCGUUGCUCGGAAUCACUGGGCGUAAAGGUGCGUAGGCGGGUCUUUAAGUCAGGGGUGAAAUCCUGGAGCUCAACUCCAGAACUGCCUUGAUACUGAAGAUCUUGAGUUCGGGAGAGGUGAGUGGAACUGCGAGUGUAGAGGUGAAAUUCGUAGAUAUUCGCAAGAACACCAGUGGCGAAGGCGGCUCACUGGCCCGAUACUGACGCUGAGGCACGAAAGCGUGGGGAGACAA
rnacentral:rRNA from 1 species